UCGGGAAUAUUGCGCAAUGGAGGAAACUCUGACGCAGUGACGCCGCGUGCAGGAAGAAGGUUUUCGGAUUGUAAACUGCUUUAGACAGGGAAGAAACAAGACAGUACCUGUAGAAUAAGCUCCGGCUAACUACGUGCCAGCAGCCGCGGUAAUACGUAGGGAGCAAGCGUUAUCCGGAUUUAUUGGGUGUAAAGGGUGCGUAGACGGGAAUGCAAGUUGGUUGUGAAACCCCUCGGCUCAACCGAGGAAUUGCAACCAAAACUAUAUUUCCUUGAGUGCUGGAGAGGAAAGUGGAAUUCCUAGUGUAGCGGUGAAAUGCGUAGAUAUUAGGAGGAACACCAGUGGCGAAGGCGACUUUCCGGACAGUAACUGACGUUGAAGCACGAAAGUGUGGGGAGCAAACAGGAUUAGAUACCC
rnacentral:rRNA from 1 species